rnacentral:rRNA from 1 species
UACGUAGGGUGCGAGCGUUGUCCGGAAUUAUUGGGCGUAAAGGGCUCGUAGGCGGUUUGUCGCGUCGGGAGUGAAAUCCACUGGCUUAACUGGUGGCUUGCUUUCGAUACGGGCAGACUGGAGGUAUGCAGGGGGAGAACGGAAUUCCUGGUGUAGCGGUGAAAUGCGCAGAUAUCAGGAGGAACACCAAUGGCGAAGGCAGCCCCCUGGGACCUGACUGACGCUCAUGUACGAAAGCGUGGGGAGCAAACAGG